rnacentral:tRNA from 1 species
GCGCCCGUAGUCUAAUCGGAUAAAACAAAGGCCUCCGACGCCUUCGUUGCAGGUUCGAGUCCUGUCGGGCGCA